rnacentral:rRNA from 1 species
AUGGUGAAGGAGAAGACGGCAGCACUGGAGCGGGCGAAGAAGGCGACGACGAAGGCGAAGGGGAGGGGAACCAGUCGGAGCGGCUCUUCAUCGAGGACCGGCCUGCCGCCGGGCUGGAUCCAGGGCGACUGGAUCCGUUCGACAAUUAGUCAAGCGGAUCUCGACGACCUGGUCGACGGAGGACUGAUCCCCCAUGGAUCUGUGCGGCUUCCGGGGAGGGAGUCAGAGCCGCAGCCUCAGGAGGGUGAGUGUGUUCUUUUGGCCACCCACGUCGACCGUGGGUUUUCUUUGCCGCCCCACUCUUUCUUUCGGGGGUUUCUGAAUUUCUUUGGGGCACAACGCCACCACUUCACACCCAACACCAUCGUGUAUCUCGCUGCUUAUGUGUCUUUGUGUGAGAACUUCUUGGGUUGCCGGCCUCAUUAG